rnacentral:rRNA from 1 species
CCCUUAGAUGUUCUGGGCCGCACGCGCGCUACACUGUUCGACGCAGCGAGUCUUAACCUUGACCGAAAGGUUUGGGUAAUCUUCAGCAAAGUCGAACGUGAUGGGGAUCGAUCAUUGCAAUUAUUGAUCGUGAACGAGGAAUUCCUAGUAAGUGCAAGUCAUCAGCUUGCGCUGAUUACGUCCCUGCCCUUUGUACACACCGCCCGUCGCUACUACCGAUUGAAUGGUUUAGUGAGAUCUCUGGAUUGACGCUGGCUAGGGGGCGACCCUUGGCCAGACUGUUGAGAGACUGCUCAAACUUGAUCAUUUAGAGGAAGUAAAAGUCGUAACA